UGCAUCGAUUCCCGAAACGAGGGUAGCACUCGCACCAACACAAACAGAAGAAAUCCGUUUUAAAGAGGUAAGAAACUUGAUGUCCAAAUCGGCUGAUUUUCUACUGCCAUCGGCUAAUCCGUCUCUUUAUUUUAUCAGGAGCAGGACACUCCCAACAACAGCCUCUUCUCUGUUGCGGUUGCAAUCUCUAAUGACGAGGAAGUCGCCUCACGCCAGGUUGCUCUGAGUUCAAUUGCUGAUGAAGUUUGCACCAAGCUCCAGAGCAUACGGAUUCUUCUCCAAGAUGAUAUCGGCCGACUGGUG
rnacentral:lncRNA from 1 species